AUGAAGUCCCCAGCUCAGUUCCUCUGUCUCCUCCUGCUCUGGCUCCCUGGUUCACAAGGGGAAGUUGUUCUGACUCAGUCCCCAGCCUCUGUGUCUGCGUCUCUGGGAGAGAGAGUCACCAUCAAGUGCAAGGCCAGUCAGAGCCUCUUACACAGUGAUGGGAACACUUACCUAAACUGGUACCAACAGAAACCAGGAAAACCUAUUAAAGCACUGAUCUACGGAGUUUCCAAUCUAUACUCUGGAGUUCCCUCUCGAUUCAGUGGGAGUGGGUCUGGGACAGAUUUCACCCUCACAAUCAGUAGUCUGGAGCCUGAGGAUGUAGCCAUCUAUUACUGUUUUCAACACACUCACUGGCCUCCCACACAGUGCUUCAGCCCUGAACAAAAACCUCCUCAUAUCAUUCAGCCCUCACUCAGGGGAAUAUCUAUUCUCUCCUGAGUCCUAGGUUCAUAGCAGCUGCUAUCUAAUGUGAAGAUAAGACCUAACUUACCUUUUCCUUUAGAAUCUCCGUGUUCAGUCCUUAUUAUUUACUCCUUUGCUGAAGAG